rnacentral:ncRNA from 1 species
AAAUUUUAAAUUUGAUCAUGGUUUAAGAUGGUUUAAAAUGGUAUUAUCUAUUUUUGAUUUACAGCGUGGGCAAUGAAUUUUUACCCCGGCAAAUUAUCGUUUGUAAAAUAUUUGUUCCAGAAUAAUCGGCUAGACUUAUUAAAGCUUGUACUUUAAUUGAUUUUUAUUAUAAUAUUGUUAUUUAUCACUUAAAAAGUUUAAGGUAGAAUUAGAAUUUAUUAAAUGGUAUUUAUUAUAAUAUUAAAUUUUGGUGAACGAAUUAGAUUAGUACCUAAUUAGACAAAAAUUAAAAGAGCAGGAGUAAAGUUGUAUUUAAACUGAAAAGAUAUUGGCAGGUCUUCUAAAUUAUCUUUGGAGGCUGAGUAGUAACUGAGAACCCUCAUUGACUACUUAUUUUUUAGACUCAUGUAUGAUCGUUUAUUUUAUUCUUAAGGAUUAUAAGUAAAAAUUAUUCUUUAUUAAAAUAGAUAUAUACCUGGUUUAUGGAGAAAGUAAAACUUGGCCUACAAUAAAAUAUUUUAUGGAUAAGUUUUUUAGUAGAAAUUUUGAAAUUGUAAAAGAUAGUAAGAAAUUUUUUAUAUAUUUCUGAAGGGUAUCUAGAGACGGUACAAAUCAUCCAUCAAUUGCCUCAAAGGGAGUAAGUUGUAGUAAAGUAGAUUAAGGGGAACCUCAAUCUAG